rnacentral:rRNA from 1 species
AUGCAGUCGCACGGACCUUUCGGGGUGAGUGGCGGACGGGUGAGUAUCGCGUAGGGAUCUAUCCAUGGGUGGGGGAUAACAUCGGGAAACUGGUGCUAAUACCGCAUGAUACCUGAGGGUCAAAGGCGCAAGUCGCCUGUGGAGGGGCCUGCGUUCGAUUAGCUUGUUGGUGGGGUAAAGGCCUACCAAGGCGAUGAUCGAUAGCUGGUCUGAGAGGAUGAUCAGCCACACUGGGACUGAGACACGGCCCAGACUCCUACGGGAGGCAGCAGUGGGGGAUAUUGGACAAUGGGCGAAAGCCUGAUCCAGCAAUGCCGCGUGUGUGAAGAAGGUCUUCGGAUUGUAAAGCACUUUCGACGGGGACGAUGAUGACGGUACCCGUAGAAGAAGCCCCGGCUAACUUCGUGCCAGCAGCCGCGGUAAUACGAAGGGGGCUAGCGUUGCUCGGAAUGACUGGGCGUAAAGGGCGCGUAGGCGGUUUACACAGUCAGAUGUGAAAUUCCAGGGCUUAACCUUGGGGCUGCAUUUGAUACGUGUAGACUA